rnacentral:lncRNA from 1 species
CACAGCCACCCUUCCCGCUGUUUUCUCUUCCUGGAACAGAUGUUUCGCGAAGAUUGCCUUUGUGACAAGAAUGGAUGUUUAGAUGCUCAUAAGCAUAAAAAUCUAACACAAGAACAAGGAGAAACAUUCUCCCAUGAGAGUUAAGUUUGUUCAUCUCAAGUAAUUUUGAAACUGAAGUUGCAUGUGAGACAGUGAAUUUAAUAAACUUUUAUACAUAAUAGAAAUAAUGUUACUUAUGUGGCCAUUUUUAAUGGGGCAGAAUGUCUCCCUGAAGAAAUAAAGCUAUUUAAAACUUUACAGGGAAAAUGACAAGGCCUUUUUAUAUAAAAAGUAGGUUCAGAUUUCACUUGGAUAUUUAGCAGCAGAAAGAAAGGUGAUGUUACUAUAAACUGAAUUAGCAGUAUACAAAGCUCCUUACGUUCCACAGACCUGUAGUUUGCCUAUUAGAGCUACUAAUGAUCUUGAUGGAUGUUACAACUGUUAAUAUUCUUACCUUUUAUUUCCUACCUCCUUUUGUAGCGCUGUAAUAAAUCCUUACAACUGAGGCUCAUAGGCAGAAGGGACUUGCUGUAUGUCAGAUGAGACUUUGGAUAUGGACUUUUGACUUAAUGAUGGAAUGAGUUAGGACUCUGGGGAACUGCUGGAAAG